rnacentral:rRNA from 1 species
UAAAUAACAAUGAUUCAAUGAUAACAAAGUUGAAUUAAUUGGAAUGAGAACAAUAUAAAUCCCUUAUCGAGUAACAAUUUCAGGGGCAAGUUCUGGUGCCAGCAGCCGCGGUAAUUCCAGCUAGAAAAAGCGUAUACGAAUAUUGUUGCAGUUAAAACGCUCGUAGUUGGAAUAAAAUAUAAAAUAAACAAUAAAUUUAACAGUGUUAAUUUUAUUAUUUAUUUUAUUUUUUUAAUUUUAUAUUUUUUAAGUCAUUAAAAAAUAUAUAUUUUACUUUGAAUAAAUUAGAGUGCUUUAAGCAGAUUGAUUUUUUUCAAAAAUCAUUUAAAAAAUGUUUGAAUAAUUUAGCAUAGAAUAAAAUAAUAAGAUUUGAAAGAUAAGAUUUGGUAAUUAUGUAGCAAAUAAUGAUAAAUAGGAAUAGUUGGG